CUACGGGGUGCUGCAGUGGGGAAUUUUGGACAAUGGGGGCAACCCUGAUCCAGCCAUGCCGCGUGAGUGAAGAAGGCCUUCGGGUUGUAAAGCUCUUUCAGCCGGGAAGAAAUCGCAUGGGUUAAUACCCUGUGCGGAUGACGGUACCGGAAUAAGAAGCACCGGCUAACUACGUGCCAGCAGCCGCGGUAAUACGUAGGGUGCGAGCGGUAAUCGGAAUUACUGGGCGUAAAGCGUGCGCAGGCGGAUGCUUAAGUCAGAUGUGAAAUCCCCGGGCUUAACCUGGGAAUUGCAUUUGAAACUGGGUGUCUAGAGUGCGUCAGAGGGGGGUGGAAUUCCACGUGUAGCAGUGACAUGCGUAGAUAUGUGGAGGAACACCAAUGGCGAAGGCAGCCCCCUGGGAUGACACUGACGCUCAUGCACGAAAGCGUGGGGAGCAAACAGGAUUAGAUACCCGCGUAGUC
rnacentral:rRNA from 1 species